rnacentral:rRNA from 1 species
UACAGAGGGGGCAAGCGUUGUUCGGAAUUACUGGGCGUAAAGGGCGCGUAGGCGGCCUGUUAAGUCGAACGUGAAAUCCCCGGGCUCAACCCGGGAACUGCGUCCGAUACUGGCAGGCUUGAAUCCGGGAGAGGGAUGCGGAAUUCCAGGUGUAGCGGUGAAAUGCGUAGAUAUCUGGAGGAACACCGGUGGCGAAGGCGGCAUCCUGGACCGGCAUUGACGCGUGAGG